rnacentral:lncRNA from 1 species
AGGAGAGAAACGAAAACUCUCUCACACUCCAACGUCUCUCUCUGAGCCAAAAAGGACAAAAAGAAAAAUAAUAAAGACUCUAACGGACAAAAACACAAAAGAUAUCCCUCACGUCCCUCUCUCUGCUGCAACAAGAAAAUGAAGAAGCUCAGAGCUUUGAAAGAAAAAAAUAAAAUAGUCUUCAUUGUGGAGGCACAUACACACUCACAUUACAUAACUCUCUCCGCUGUAACUUCAUAAAAUCUUCCUUCACCCCAUCCAUCUUCAACGUUAUACUCUUUCUUCCUCUCAUAUCCAAG